rnacentral:rRNA from 1 species
AGUGAACGCUGGCGGCAUGCCUAAUACAUGCAAGUCGAACGGCAGCACAGUAAGAUCGUGCCUCUACUGUUGGCGACGGGCGGACGGGUGAGGCAUACAUCGGAUUCUACUAUUUCUGGGGUGACUACGGAGGGAAAUAUAUACUAACACCUCAUAUUAUGAACCGCAUGGAUCAGAAGUGCUUGAGACUUUUGCCGACUCAUUUAGCCGAUUCCGCAUUAGCUAGUUGGCAGGGUAAGGGCCCACCAAGCCAACGAUCCGUAGCUGACCUGAGAGGAUGAUCGGCCACACUGGAACUGAGACACGGUCCAGACUCCUACGGGAGGCAGCAGUGGGGAAUCUUGCGCAAUGGGCGCAAGCCUGAUGCAGCCAUGCCGCGUGAGUGAUGAAGGCCUUCGGGUUGUAAAGCCCUUUUAUUGGGGAAGAACAGAAGCGGAUUAAUCCCCCGCUGUUCUGACGGUACCCAAACAGUAAGCCCCGGCUAACUUCGUG